GAACUUAAAGAGAGAGAGAGAGAGAGAAGGUAAGGUAAGGUUUAGAGAGAACUUGAGAGAGAGAGAAAGAAGGUAACGUUUUCACAAAGGAGGCUUCUCUCAGACGAAACGAAUAAAGAACAAAAAAAGCUGUGAAGAAUCCACAAAAGGUGACAAAAGCAAGAAGGAGAAGCAAACAUGGAUCCUUAUCUUGUCUUCUGAUUCACACACAAGAAAAGAAUGGAGGGUAGUGUAUUACUGCAACAAUGGUGGGGGUUUGAAGAAGAGCAUUUUCGUUAGAGAAGAAGAAGAAUUAGUUUCAUAACUCUUCAAUGUCGUUGAUCAGAUUCAUUUCUUUAUGUCUUUAAUUUAAUCAUCUCAUUAAACAAAAAAUAAUGUGACGGGUUGGGAAGUAGUGAUAUUGGCGGAAUGGCUCAAUCUCCUUGUCACAUUAUCAGUUUCUUUGUUUUCUUCUCUUAAAUUUUAAUUUAGAGGAAAAAGAAGAGAGAGAGAUCCAGUUCUACAUUUCUAUUUCUCUCGGGAAAUGUGCCUAUCACCAAAUCGGAUAGCUUGAUUUUUUUUUAUAAAAAAAAUAAUAAAAGAGGGAAAUAUACCAAUAUGUUAAGUAUUCACAGUUAUAUUGCUCA